rnacentral:rRNA from 1 species
UGGUCAUUUAGAGGAAGUAAAAGUCGUAACAAGGCUCCGUAGGUGAACCUGCGGAGGGAUCAUUACCGAGUUCAUGCCCUGACGGGUAGACCUCCCACCCUAUGUUAUAUUACCUUUGUUGCUUUGGCGGGCCGCCCGGCUUCGGCCAGGCUACCGGCUCCAGCUGGUAAGCGCUCGCCAGAGGACCCCCAACUCUGAAUAUCAGUGUCGUCCGAGUACUAUAAAAUAGUUAAAACUUUCAACAACGGAUCUCUUGGUUCUGGCAUCGAUGAAGAACGCAGCGAAAUGCGAUAAGUAAUGUGAAUUGCAGAAUUCAGUGAAUCAUCGAAUCUUUGAACGCACAUUGCGCCCCUUGGUAUUCCGAGGGGCAUGCCUGUUCGAGCGUCAUUACAACCCUCAAGCACUGCUUGGUAUUGGGCUCCGCUGGCUCCAGCGGGCCUUAAAAUCAGUGGCGGCGCCGUUUGGGCUCUGAGCGUAGUAAAUAUCCUCGCUAUAGAGACCAGGCGGUUCUUGUCAUCAACCCCCAACUUUCUAAGUUUGACCUCGGAUCAGGUAGGGAUACCCGCUGAACUUAAGCAUAUCAAUAAGCGGAGG